ensembl:snRNA U1 U1 spliceosomal RNA
ACACUUACCUGGCAGGGGAGAUACCAUGAUCACGAAGGUGGUUUUCCAAGGGCAAGGCUUAUCCAUUGCACUCCGGAUGUGCUGACCCCUAAAAAAAUAAAAAUAAAAUAAAAAAAGAAUAUAUAUGGUUUUGUUUAUGUGAAAUCC